rnacentral:rRNA from 1 species
AGUCGAGCGGACAGAUGGGAGCUUGCUCCCUGAUGUUAGCGGCGGACGGGUGAGUAACACGUGGGUAACCUGCCUGUAAGACUGGGAUAACUCCGGGAAACCGGGGCUAAUACCGGAUGCUUGUUUGAACCGCAUGGUUCAAACAUAAAAGGUGGCUUCGGCUACCACUUACAGAUGGACCCGCGGCGCAUUAGCUAGUUGGUGAGGUAAUGGCUCACCAAGGCAACGAUGCGUAGCCGACCUGAGAGGGUGAUCGGCCACACUGGGACUGAGACACGGCCCAGACUCCUACGGGAGGCAGCAGUAGGGAAUCUUCCGCAAUGGACGAAAGUCUGACGGAGCAACGCCGCGUGAGUGAUGAAGGUUUUCGGAUCGUAAAGCUCUGUUGUUAGGGAAGAACAAGUGCCGUUCAAAUAGGGCGGCACCUUGACGGUACCUAACCAGAAAGCCACGGCUAACUACGUGCCAGCAGCCGCGGUAAUACGUAGGUGGCAAGCGUUGUCCGGAAUUAUUGGGCGUAAAGGGCUCGCAGGCGGUUUCUUAAGUCUGAUGUGAAAGCCCCCGGCUCAACCGGGGAGGGUCAUUGGAAACUGGGGAACUUGAGUGCAGAAGAGGAGAGUGGAAUUCCACGUGUAGCGGUGAAAUGCGUAGAGAUGUGGAGGAACACCAGUGGCGAAGGCGACUCUCUGGUCUGUAACUGACGCUGAGGAGCGAAAGCGUGGGGAGCGAACAGGAUUAGAUACCCUGGUAGUCCACGCCGUAAACGAUGAGUGCUAAGUGUUA